UGGAAUUGAUUGAGUUUUGAUUUUAAACCCAUAGCAAUUCUGACCGGUUCGGCUCUUUUUAAACCGGUUUUGGCAAAUCAGAUACCUGUUCUAGAUUUCACUUGAAAUUAUCUUUCCGAUGGUGUAGUUUAGAAAUUGUUUGGUGGUUUGGAAUGUGUCCGGAAUUACGGUUGAUCACUCGUUCGAUCUGAAUAUCUGAAUAUCUUUGUCAGGUGAGUUCUAAAUCCCUUUUAGAUAUUAUUCCGUUGUAUAAUAUUUUAGGAGGGA